ACUCAUCCUCUCCCAUUCCCCAGAUCCAAUCGAGGCACCCCGCCGCCCCCGCCUUCCUUUCCCUCGCUCGUCUCAUCUCCCUCCCGCGAUUCCCACUGCCGUCACCCCCACCCACCACCGCCGACCUCGUCUCCGCCAUGCACCCCUCGCCUUCCUCUGCGGCUCCAAGGCUCGGCGCUCGGCGAGGGGGAAGCGGUGAGGCCGAGGUGGAGGACGGGGAUGGGGUGCAUGUUCGACUACUUCCGUGCGGCUGCGCCCAGCUCGCCUCGGAUCUAGGCUCGACGGAGCGGAGAUGAAUAUCACGAUGCUCGUCGUGUUGAGGCCGUCGGCCGGAGGCGCCGGGGGAUCCUCCUCCAGCGGCGGGUAGGGCUCCGAGGCGCUCGUGCUGGCCAACGCCACGGACGUCAGCCACUUCGGCUUCUUCCGGCGCGGCGCCGCACGCGAGUUCAUCGUCUUCGUCGCCCGCACCGUCGCCCAGCGCACCCAGCCAGGCCAGCGCUAGUCCGUCCAGCACGAAGGACAAUGGAAGUCCUUUGUUCGGAGAGAGAAACCAAGUUGAAGUGAGUGGAAAAUACUUCGGUGCAUCCUGGAGUCCAGCUACUGUUCUUAAAGUGAUUGGUGCUUCACAUUUUCUAGUACAGUACAUGCAUACUGAAAAUGAUGGGUACACGGAGUUUUUUGAAACAGAAACUUGUUCAUGGCCCUACUUGUGUCGGACAGCAAGUGCCAAACUUGAAACAGAAACUUGUAGUAGCGGGCCUGGAGCUUAGUUCUUCAAGCAUAACCUUUUAAAGCAGAAAUCAAUGCACCUCAUUGUUAUAUUUUUUUGUUUGCCCUACAGCUUUAAGCACUGUUGGUACAAUGUGAACUGGACUUCUUGGGGUGACUGGAUUUUGGGCAAACUUUGUUGCUGAUAUUGGCCAAACUUUAUGAUACAGAGUUUUGGUAAAUAAGCUAUUUUCUGAAGAAUUUUGUUGUGGAUAAUAUAUGUAUCUGUAGUAUGUGUGAAAUGUUGCAAGCUUCGCAUGUCAUUGAGAUUCUGGAAGAUGAUUUGGUUCACUUCACCCAGUGAUUUCUUUGUCAUAAACUGAGCAUAUGCGGUUUCUUCAGGAACCCUCCUUAUUGAAGUGUGCAUCCAUUCCAUUGAGAUGGCUAUUCCAAGCAGCAAAGUUUUGUUAAUGACAGUUCGUGUGCUUGCCCACUAACAAUUUUGCAUUUCUGCCCAAUAACAGGUUCCACUUCUUGGUGGAGCGAUGUGCAUGUGCACCUGGCAUUUCUUCUACAACUCAGUCUCUCGAGGUAACAUAUUGACCUGAAGGCAAAGCUACACCACAGGACUGAACCAUACCGUACGCCGGGCGUGGUCGUGCUACUAACCGCCAGGCCACCGACGCUGGCGCCGGUGCCGACCCCGACCAGAGAUCCGUCGCCGCCCAGGACCCCAAGCUACUGGACGACUUCGCAGACACCGAAGCCAACACCAAAGUUUAAUUACCACCUCCAAAUCAAAUCCUGGGGCUUCAUUCAUGGCUGUCUAGUACUGCUAGUUAAUCCUGGGGCUUCAUUAAUCCUGGGGCUUCAUUAAUCCUGGGGCUUAUUUACCAUCAGUUAGUACACUAUCCAGUACUGCUAGUUCUCAUCUCACUUGUUGUGCUUCUUGGACUGGGAGCACUCUUUGUUAUCCAAGAUCUAACAUGAAAGGUAAAAUGGGUACAUCGCUUGUCUUGUUGUAUUUGCAAGUUUGAAACUGGAUUAGCAUCUUGGAGUAUUGUUGUACUCCAACAGACUAAACAGUACGUACUCCAGUGCUGAUAGUUAGAGUAGCAUCUUGGAGUAGGGUAGUCCACAUUUGUCUAAAUUAGACCGGAUUAUUCAGAUUAGUCCACAUUUUAUAUUAUUCUUGGAGUACUGUACUGUAGCAGCAGCAUGAGUAAACUGAAUACUCCUUCAUAUGUUUCGUUCCUCCUUAUUCUUCCUCAGAUUGUGAAAAUGGAUUCAUUCCUUCUUACGCACUGCACUGUACUGUAAUAUUGGUUGCUUUUGAUGAGUGCCAGAGAGCAAUAAUAGAUCAUUUUUCGAAUUAAUACUCCAAAAUUUAUCUGUAUUGGAGGAGUGAUUGUUUCCAAAUCAAUACUACUGGGCAUCAUUCAUGGCUGUCUAGUAGUCGACAUACUUCUGGUUCCAUUUAGUAUAUGCAGGUAGCAGCAGCUUAAGUGUAAUGGACCUGUUGUUACUCUAUGCCUACGUUGUUAGAGUUUGCAUCAUCUCCUUGUUGUUUAUAGCAUAAUUGCCUUCACUAUUCUUGCUCUGAACCUUUGAUCAUGAUACUGACUGUAUUUGUCUUGAUGGAAUUACAGGCAACAUGGUGACUCUAGUGUAGGCAACACUGGCCAUCCUCUUCGAGGCUGUGUGUUUAGGUGAUUCCUCGGGUAGCCAUGACAGUACACUGGCUGAUUAGUGCCCAGUGGCAUGUUUCUAAUAUUUACAGGGAUUUCCUUUAUAGGAAUAAUGCUCAUGGACGAGCUGCAGCGGGACAACUUGGAGAGGAAGUACUUCGAGGACAAGAUCAAGGAGAACCAAGAGAAGAUCACCGGUUACCUCAUACUUCUCGGCAUGCCUAGCAACUUUGGCAGAUCCCUCUUUGGCUUCGACCAAGUUACUUUUGUCACUAGCCAGCAGCAUUUACAGGUGUUGUCAGUUCUGGAAGAUGGAAGAGGAAGAAAAAUAAUUUUUGUUGAACUAAAUUUUCUGUAUUCUGUUUUGUUGUACGUAUGAUUUGAUAGUUUUGUAUAGGAACAAGUGAUACUAUUUUGUAGGGCUUUAUGGCCUGUGUACUAUUUUGUAGGGCUUUAUGGCCUGUGAUGUAAACAUAUUUAGUGCUGAAUUAUGAAUUUUUUGAAAAAAUUAUUAGAAAGGAGAAUCAUUUGUAUGAA